GCAGUCAGAGGCGAUGAAGGGCGUGCUAAUCUGCGAUAAGCGCCGGUAAGGUGAUAUGAACCGUUAUAACCGGCGAUACCCGAAUGGGGAAACCCAGUGUGACUCGUCACACUAUCAUUAACUGAAUCCAUAGGUUAAUGAGGCGAACCGGGGGAACUGAAACAUCUAAGUACCCCGAGGAAAAGAAAUCAACCGAGAUUCCCCCAGUAGCGGCGAGCGAACGGGGAGGAGCCCAGAGCCUGAAUCAGCAUGUGUGUUAGUGGAAGCGUCUGGAAAGGCGCGCGAUACAGGGUGACAGCCCCGUACACAAAAGCGCAUGUGCUGUGAGCUCGAUGAGUAGGGCGGGACACGUGGUAUCCUGUCUGAAUAUGGGGGGACCAUCCUCCAAGGCUAAAUACUCCUGACUGACCGAUAGUGAACCAGUACCGUGAGGGAAAGGCGAAAAGAACCCCGGCGAGGGGAGUGAAAAAGAACCUGAAACCGUGUACGUACAAGCAGUGGGAGCACAGGUUUACCUGUGUGACUGCGUACCUUUUGUAUAAUGGGUCAGCGACUUAUAUUCUGUAGCAAGGUUAACCGUAUAGGGGAGCCGUAGGGAAACCGAGUCUUAACCGGGCGUUAAGUUGCAGGGUAUAGACCCGAAACCCGGUGAUCUAGCCAUGGGCAGGUUGAAGGUUGGGUAACACUAACUGGAGGACCGAACCGACUAAUGUUGAAAAAUUAGCGGAUGACCUGUGGCUGGGGGUGAAAGGCCAAUCAAACCGGGAGAUAGCUGGUUCUCCCCGAAAGCUAUUUAGGUAGCGCCUCGUGAAUUCAUCUCCGGGGGUAGAGCACUGUUUCGGCUAGGGGGCCAUCCCGGCUUACCAACCCGAUGCAAACUGCGAAUACCGGAGAAUGUUAUCACGGGAGACACACGGCGGGUGCUAACGUCCGUCGUGAAGAGGGAAACAACCCAGACCGCCAGCUAAGGUCCCAAAGUCAUGGUUAAGUGGGAAACGAUGUGGGAAGGCCCAGACAGCCAGGAUGUUGGCUUAGAAGCAGCCAUCAUUUAAAGAAAGCGUAAUAGCUCACUGGUCGAGUCGGCCUGCGCGGAAGAUGUAACGGGGCUAAACCAUGCACCGAAGCUGCGGCAGCGACGCUGAUGCGUUGUUGGGUAGGGGAGCGUUCUGUAAGCCUGUGAAGGUGGCCUGUGAGGGUUGCUGGAGGUAUCAGAAGUGCGAAUGCUGACAUAAGUAACGAUAAAGCGGGUGAAAAGCCCGCUCGCCGGAAGACCAAGGGUUCCUGUCCAACGUUAAUCGGGGCAGGGUGAGUCGACCCCUAAGGCGAGGCCGAAAGGCGUAGUCGAUGGGAAACGGGUUAAUAUUCCCGUACUUGGUGUUACUGCGAAGGGGGGACGGAGAAGGCUAUGUUGGCCGGGCGACGGUUGUCCCGGUUUAAGCGUGUAGGUGUGUGUUCCAGGUAAAUCCGGUUCACUUUAACACUGAGGCGUGAUGACGAGGCACUACGGUGCUGAAGCAACAAAUGCCCUGCUUCCAGGAAAAGCCUCUAAGCAUCAGGUAACAUCAAAUCGUACCCCAAACCGACACAGGUGGUCAGGUAGAGAAUACCAAGGCGCUUGAGAGAACUCGGGUGAAGGAACUAGGCAAAAUGGUGCCGUAACUUCGGGAGAAGGCACGCUGACACGUAGGUGAAGUGAUUUACUCAUGGAGCUGAAGUCAGUCGAAGAUACCAGCUGGCUGCAACUGUUUAUUAAAAACACAGCACUGUGCAAACACGAAAGUGGACGUAUACGGUGUGACGCCUGCCCGGUGCCGGAAGGUUAAUUGAUGGGGUCAGCGCAAGCGAAGCUCCUGAUCGAAGCCCCGGUAAACGGCGGCCGUAACUAUAACGGUCCUAAGGUAGCGAAAUUCCUUGUCGGGUAAGUUCCGACCUGCACGAAUGGCGUAAUGAUGGCCAGGCUGUCUCCACCCGAGACUCAGUGAAAUUGAACUCGCUGUGAAGAUGCAGUGUACCCGCGGCAAGACGGAAAGACCCCGUGAACCUUUACUAUAGCUUGACACUGAACAUUGAGCCUUGAUGUGUAGGAUAGGUGGGAGGCUUUGAAGCGUGGACGCCAGUCUGCAUGGAGCCGGCCUUGAAAUACCACCCUUUAAUGUUUGAUGUUCUAACGUGGACCCGUGAUCCGGGUUGCGGACAGUGUCUGGUGGGUAGUUUGACUGGGGCGGUCUCCUCCUAAAGAGUAACGGAGGAGCACGAAGGUUGGCUAAUCCUGGUCGGACAUCAGGAGGUUAGUGCAAUGGCAUAAGCCAGCUUGACUGCGAGCGUGACGGCGCGAGCAGGUGCGAAAGCAGGUCAUAGUGAUCCGGUGGUUCUGAAUGGAAGGGCCAUCGCUCAACGGAUAAAAGGUACUCCGGGGAUAACAGGCUGAUACCGCCCAAGAGUUCAUAUCGACGGCGGUGUUUGGCACCUCGAUGUCGGCUCAUCACAUCCUGGGGCUGAAGUAGGUCCCAAGGGUAUGGCUGUUCGCCAUUUAAAGUGGUACGCGAGCUGGGUUUAGAACGUCGUGAGACAGUUCGGUCCCUAUCUGCCGUGGGCGCUGGAGAACUGAGGGGGGCUGCUCCUAGUACGAGAGGACCGGAGUGGACGCAUCACUGGUGUUCGGGUUGUCAUGCCAAUGGCACUGCCCGGUAGCUAAAUGCGGAAGAGAUAAGUGCUGAAAGCAUCUAAGCACGAAACUUGCCCCGAGAUGAGUUCUCCCUGAGACUUAGAGUCUCCUGAAGGAACGUUGAAGACGACGACGUUGAUAGGCCGGGUGUGUAAGCGCAGCGAUGCGUUGAGCUAACCGGUACUAAUGAACCGUGAGGCUUAACCUU
rnacentral:rRNA from 1 species